rfam:Desulfobacterales bacterium GWB2_56_26 gwb2_scaffold_2024, whole genome shotgun sequence.
GGGGCUAUAGCUCAGCUGGGAGAGCGCUUGACUGGCAGUCAAGAGGUCGUCGGUUCGAUCCCGUCUAGCUCCA